AAACGCGAAUAGCAAUUUGUGUGCAUGAACACCGCAUAAUCCGUACAUUUCUCAAGAGGUGUAGACAGAGGUGAAUAGAAUCAAAUAUACAGUGGAAUAAACUAAACUGUCGAUGGGAAAAGCAUGAAAGUUUAAGGUAGCAGCUGUAUCUAAUGAAACUCAUAGCCGAGGAAGCGUUUCUGUCCAAGCUGCAACCUUUGACCCCAACUACGGUAUGAUGCGCCACGUGCAGUAGGAUUCUUCAAGACGAGCCACCAUCGUUGACGAGGAACGUCGUUUGGCUCGAUCGUGAUCGAAGUACGAAGGAUUCGAAAGGUGUCUAGGAAGAAGAAACGCAAGAAGAGCGAUGGAGAAGUGCACCUGACAACGUGGGAGGGGGAAAAAAACGAAACACGAUUCAAGAGAAAACAAAGCUCUAAAUCAAGAAGAAAAUGAAAUAUAACUGCUGACAGGAAGACACAUACACGUGUACCGGAUAGAACGCCGUAAGACGCGGCGAGGGAAGCAAAAAAGAGAAAGAUGAAGAGCAUCGGAUGAAAGAGAAACAAACGAAUCGCGAAUGAAAAUACACGCAAGAGAAAGGAUUAUAAUGAUCAAAGAGAGAAAGUAUCCUGACGAGCAAAAAACUAAGUCGGGGUAAAGAAACAAAAGUGAUGCACGAGGAAUAAAUCAAGAAGAAAGAUUAACAGCGGCGAAGAAAGGAAAA